rnacentral:misc_RNA from 1 species
GAUGAAGAACGUAGCGAAAUGCGAUAAGUAGUGUGAAUUGCAGAAUUCAGUGAAUCUUCGAAUCUUUGAACGCACAUUGCGCCCUUUGGUAUUCCUUAGGGCAUGCCUGUUCGAGCGUCAUUUAAACCUUCAAGCUAAGCUUGGUGUUGGGUGACUGUCCGCUUCACGGCGGACUCGCCUCAAAAUUAUUGGCGGCCGGUACAUUGGCUUCGAGCGCAGCAGAAACGCGAACUCGGGCCCGUCGUAUUGGCUCCCAGAAGCUAUCUUCACAAUUUUGACCUCGGAUCAGGUAGGGAUACCCGCUGAACUUAAGCAUAUCAAUAAGCGGAGGA